rnacentral:rRNA from 1 species
GAUGAACGCUGGCGGCGUGCCUAAUACAUGCAAGUCGAGCGAACAGACGAGGAGCUUGCUCCUCUGACGUUAGCGGCGGACGGGUGAGUAACACGUGGAUAACCUACCUAUAAGACUGGGAUAACUUCGGGAAACCGGAGCUAAUACCGGAUAAUAUAUUGAACCGCAUGGUUCAAUAGUGAAAGACGGUUUUGCUGUCACUUAUAGAUGGAUCCGCGCCGCAUUAGCUAGUUGGUAAGGUAACGGCUUACCAAGGCAACGAUGCGUAGCCGACCGGAGAGGGUGAUCGGCCACACUGGAACUGAGACACGGUCCAGACUCCUGCGGGAGGCAGCAGUAGGGAAUCUUCCGCAAUGGGCGAAAGCCUGACGGAGCAACGCCGCGUGAGUGAUGAAGGUCUUCGGAUCGUAAAACUCUGUUAUUAGGGAAGAACAAAUGUGUAAGUAACUAUGCCCGUCUUGACGGUACCUGGUCAGAAAGCCACGGCUAACUACGUG